rnacentral:tRNA from 1 species
GCCGAAGCAAGUGGCUGAUUUCGAGCUGCUAAGCGGAUUUUUGCGAAAUCAUCCGAACGGCGGUAACGGAUUCGUAAACCGUAGGUCAAGGGUUCAAUCCCCUUCUUUGGCUCCA